rnacentral:rRNA from 1 species
AGUGAACGCUGGCGGUAGGCCUAACACAUGCAAGUCGAACGGCAGCACAGUAAGAGCUUGCUCUUACGGGUGGCGAGUGGCGGACGGGUGAGGAAUACAUCGGAAUCUACUUUUUCGUGGGGGAUAACGUAGGGAAACUUACGCUAAUACCGCAUACAACCUACGGGUGAAAGCAGGGGAUCUUCGGACCUUGCGCGAUUGAAUGAGCCGAUGUCGGAUUAGCUAGUUGGCGGGGUAAAGGCCCACCAAGGCGACGAUCCGUAGCUGGUCUGAGAGGAUGAUCAGACACACGGGAACAGAGACAGGGUCCAGACUCCUACGGGAGGCCGCAGUGGGGAAUAUUGGACAAUGGGGGCAAGCCUGAUCCAGCCAUACCGCGUGGGUGAAGAAGGACUUAGGGUUGGAAAGCCCUUUUGUUGGGAAAGAAAAGCAGCAGGUUAAUACCCCGCUGUUCUGACGGUACCCAAAGAAUAAGCACCGGCUAACUUCGUG